AGUGAACGCUGGCGGUAGGCCUAACACAUGCAAGUCGAACGGCAGCUUAGUACGAUCUUGCGCUAACGCGUGGCGAGUGGCUUACGGGCGGGGGAGUCACCCGAAGCUACUCUUUCGUGGGGGGUGGCGUAGCGAUACGUACGCUAAUAUAGCAUACCACAUUCUUGUUUAAUCAGUGAAACUUCGUUCCUUGCUCGAAUUAAUGCGCCGACGUCUGAUUAGCCAGUUGGUGGGGUAAAGGCCCACGAAGGCGACGACCAGAAGCUGGUCUGAGAGGAGGUUCACCCACACUGGAACUGGAACACGGUCCAGACUCCUAGGGGAGGCAGCAGAGGGGAAUAUUGGACAAUGGGCGCAAGCCUGCUCCAGCCAUACCGCGUGGGUGAAGAAGGCCUUCGGGUUGUAAGGCCCUUUCGUUGGGAAAGACAAGCAGCAGGUUAAUACCCCGCUGUUCUGACGGUACCCAAAGAAUAAGCACCGGCUAACUUCGUG
rnacentral:rRNA from 1 species